UACGAAGGGGGGCUAGCGUUGUUCGGAGUUACUGGGCGUAAAGGGCGCGUAGGCGGCGCACCAAGUCAGGCGUGAAAGCCCUGGGCUCAACCCGGGAAUUGCGCUUGAGACUGGUGUGCUCGAGUACGGGAGAGGAUAGUGGAAUUCCCAGUGUAGAGGUGAAAUUCGUAGAUAUUGGGAAGAACACCGGUGGCGAAGGCGGCUAUCUGGACCGUAACUGACGCUGAGGUGCGAAAGCGUGGGGAGCAAACAGG
rnacentral:rRNA from 1 species